rnacentral:rRNA from 1 species
CCUACGGGUGGCAGCAGUGAGGAAUAUUGGUCAAUGGGCGCGAGCCUGAACCAGCCAAGUCGCGUGAGGGAAGACGGUCCUAUGGAUUGUAAACCUCUUUUGUCGGGGAGCAAAAGACGCCACGCGUGGCGUUCCGAGAGUACCCUACGAAAAAGCAUCGGCUAACUCCGUGCCAGCAGCCGCGGUAAUACGGAGGAUGCGAGCGUUAUCCGGAUUUAUGGGGUUUAACGGGUGCGAGGGCGGAGGAUCAAGUCAGCGGUAAAAUUGAGGGGCUCAACCUCUUCGGGCCGUUGAAACUGGUGUGCUGGAGUGAGUGAGAGGUGGGCGGAAUGCGUGGUGUAGCGGUGAAAUGCGUAGAGAUCACGCAGAACGCCGAGUGCGAAGGCAGCAUGCGGGAG